rnacentral:rRNA from 1 species
GACGAACGCUGGCGGCGUGCUUAACACAUGCAAGUCGAACGGAAAGGCCCUGCUUUUGUGGGGUGCUCGAGUGGCGAACGGGUGAGUAACACGUGAGUAACCUGCCCUUGACUUUGGGAUAACUUCAGGAAACUGGGGCUAAUACCGGAUAGGAGCUCCUGCUGCAUGGUGGGGGUUGGAAAGUUUCGGCGGUUGGGGAUGGACUCGCGGCUUAUCAGCUUGUUGGUGGGGUAGUGGCUUACCAAGGCUUUGACGGGUAGCCGGCCUGAGAGGGUGACCGGCCACAUUGGGACUGGGAUGCGGCCCAGACUCCUCCGGGAGGCAGCAGUGGGGAAUAUUGCACAAUGGGCGGAAGCCUGAUGCAGCAACGCCGCGUGCGGGAUGACGGCCUUCGGGUUGUAAACCGCUUUCGCCUGUGACGAAGCGUGAGUGACGGUAAUGGGUAAAGAAGCACCGGCUAACUACGUG